CACGUAGGGGGCGAGCGUUGUCCGGAUUCAUUGGGCGUAAAGGGCGCGCAGGCGGCCCGGAAAGUCGGAUGUGAAAACUCGAGGCUCAACCUCGAGCGUGCACCCGAUACUGCCGGGCUUGAGGCAGGUAGGGGAGAUCGGAAUUCCUGGUGUAGCGGUGAAAUGCGCAGAUAUCAGGAGGAACACCGGUGGCGAAGGCGGAUCUCUGGGCCUGUCCUGACGCUGAGACGCGAAAGCGUGGGGAGCGAACAGG
rnacentral:rRNA from 1 species